UUUUCGAUCAGAUACGAUACAUUUGUGAAAUAUAUUAAGUAUUUAAAAUAUUGAGAACACGUGGAGAUGAUAAAUGUGAAAACAUGGAAGUAUUAUCUUCAUCAAACGUCAUUGUUACAUUUCAUAAUAUCUCGAACGUGGAGUUCCUCAUCAUCUUUAAAACGAAUAUGCAACAUCGAAGUGAUAGCUCUACCUCAAAAGGAGAGAGGAAUACGUUAAAGGCAUUUUAGAGAGUUUCUUUCGGGAUGCGUAGUUCACGCAUGAAAGAAUGAUGACGCACCAUGAUCGGUUCAGACGCUACGUCACAUAUCAAAGUUUCUUGGAGCCGUUGGAUAGCCGACACACGUCCGCCUUCUUGGUACAGGACCACGGAACCACACUUUUGCGAUUCCUUGAUUGCGAACGUGGAAAGACAGAGAGAGAAAAGGAGAAAGAGGGAGAGAGAGAGAGAGAGAGAGAGAGAGA